CAGUCCACAUUAAGCGUAGUGGUCCUAACAGGAGUGCUUUCCAAAAAUGGUUCUUACUUUUCUUUCACUUCGCAUAUUAGGGUAUAUCUUUGAGUGUCGGAAAUCAAAUGAUGAUUAAUUAGUUGAUUGCUCAUAAUGUAUCUCUACUUAUAUGUCUCUAUAGCAGUGAAACUUGUGGCAUUUCCGUGGCAGUCGCUUUGACUGACAUGUAUUAAUUGACAGAUUUUGUACUAACGAAAUAGAAUUACCAUUGGAGGAAAACAAGUGUUAAAGUACUGAGGCGUGAAGACCAACCCAGAUCUAUCGGCUUUUUGGAUUUCAUAACAUGAUGGAUGAUAAUGAACUUGAAGUGGAUGGAAAAGCUAUUGAGAUGUGGAAAAGCAUGUCAAAGGAGGUACUUCAUUUGGAUCGAUUGAUGGUACUAAAGCUUUUAGUUGCGUUUCUUACUCAUUACUGUGCUCCUGUUCAAAUAUGCAAUGUGUUUGAAUCGAUCACCAGAUAUUGGGAAACCGUAUUCCCAUGGAUGCCGAGAAAAAUUUCUUGAGACAAAAAAUCCAACCUCUGACUGAUACAUGGUUAUGGAAGGCAAGUCAAGAUGUGGCUAUUGUGAGCAGUAGUUAUUCUACAAGUUAAUGUUAGUUUAUAACUAGUAUAUGUGCAUGUUCAUUUGAUGGACUUCAAGAAUCAUAUUGUUGUAUUUUGGAAAUGACAGGGGAUCAUGAAUUCAUUUGAUGGGCAAGAAGAAAUACAUGUACCUAUUUUGGAGAUAACAGUGGAUUUUUAUGAUAUGUUUAAAAUUUAAAAU